rnacentral:rRNA from 1 species
UACGAAGGGGGCUAGCGUUGCUCGGAAUCACUGGGCGUAAAGGGUGCGUAGGCGGGGCUUUAAGUCAGGGGGGAAAUCCUGGAGCUCAACUCCAGAACUGCCUCUGAUACUGGGGAUCUUGAGUCCGGAAGAGGUAAGUGGAACUGCGAGUGUAGAGGUGAAAUUCGUAGAUAUUCGCAAGAACACCAGUGGCGAAGGCGGCUUACUGGUCCGGUACUGACGCUGAGGUGCGAAAGCUAGGGGAGCAAACGGG